rnacentral:tRNA from 1 species
CCGAUCUUAGCUCAGUUGGUAGAGCGGGAGACUGUAGUGAGCCCCCAAAAAGGGCUAAAUUGUCAUCUCUAGGUCGCUAGUUCGAAUCUGGCAGAUCGGA